AGGACGUGAACCGGUAGGAUGGAAACGGAUAGAGCCAACGAACAAGCCCGUAUUCAGCUAGUCGGCUGCGUGCGGCAUGCCUGUGUACUCGAUAGGGUGCAUGGGUGUGUGCGGUAUGCGGUUGGCUAGUGCAUUUGCGGGUGAUGUGCGCUGAGGCGUGUGGUGGAGUCCUGCAAACUGUUUGGAGAGGCCUCGACUUCGGUCUUGAAACCUACAGGCGGGGAGUAGGGUUUCUGCUGCAUGUAGCUAAUACGGCUAGGUGCAAACGCGCUGCCGUGCUGCCGGGCUGGUCGUUUGGUCGGUCGCAUGCGACUAGGCCUUUCGAUUAGUCUUGGUGGUGCGGUAGUGCCCUAGCCGGUCCUCGGUGUAAAAGUUGGUCAUCUCUCCGACCCGUCUUGAAACACGGACCAAGGAGUCUAGCGUAUACGCGAGUCAUUGGGUGGAAAACCCAUAGGCGUAAUGAAAGUGAAGGUCUCUUUAUGAGGCUGAUAUGCGAUCCGUUGCACUACGGUGUAUGCGGAGCAGCAUAGCCCCGUCUCGACUGCUUGCAGUGGGGCGGAGGUAGAGCGUAUUCGCUGGUACCCGAAAGAUGGUGAACUAUGCCUGAGCAGGAUGAAGCCAGAGGAAACUCUGGUGGAGGUCCGAAGCGCUUCUGACGUGCAAAUCGAUCGUCUGACUUGGGUAUAGGGGCGAAAGACUAAUCGAACCAUC
rnacentral:rRNA from 1 species